rnacentral:rRNA from 1 species
AGAGUUUGAUCAUGGCUCAGGGCUAACGCUGGCGGCGUGUCUUAGCCAUGCAAGUCGAGCGGUCCUAUGGGGCGACCUAUAGGAUAGCGGCGGACGGCGGAGUAACACGUAGCUAACCUACCCUCCGGACGGGGAUAACCAUUCGAAAGGGUGGCUAAUACCCGAUGGAGUCAUCCGCAAGGGUGAUGAAAGGUGGGCCUCUGUUUACAAGCUCAUGCCGGGGGAGGGGGCUGCGGCCUAUCAGGUAGUUGGUGGGGUAAAGGCCCACCAAGCCUAUGACGGGUAGCCGGCCUGAGAGGGUGACCGGCCCGAGGGACACUGAGACACGGGUCCCACUCCUACGGGAGGCAGCAGGCUAGAAAUUUGGGCAAUGGGGGAAACCCUGACCCAGUGACGCCGCGUGCAGGAAGGAGCCCUUCGGGGUGUAAACUGCUGUCGUGCGGGGCGAAGGGUUUAUAGGCGAAUAGUCUAUAGACUUGACGGUACCGCAGGAGGAAGCCCAGGCUAACCUCGUGCCAGCAGCCGCGGUAAUACGGGGUGGGCGAGCGUUGCCCGGAAUUACUGGGUUUAAAGGGGGUGUAGGCGGUCUGGAUAGUCAGGUGUGUAAUCCAAUCGCUCAACGAUUGGACUGCAUCUGAUACUUUCAGGCUAGAGGGCGGUAGGGGGAGAGCGGAACUCCCGGUGUAGCGGUGAAAUGCGUAGAUAUCGGGAGGAACGCCGGUGGCGAAGGCGGCUCUCUGGGCCGUUCCUGACGCUGAGGCCCGAAAGCUGGGGGAGCGAAAGGGAUUAGAUACCCCUGUAGUCCCAGCCGUAAACGAUGGCACUAGGUGUGCCUCUAUAUAGGGGUGUGCCGACGGGAAACCAUUAAGUCCCCACCUGGGGAGUACGCCCGCAGGGUGAAACUCGAAGGGAUUGACGG